UAGGGAAUCUUCGGCAAUGGACGAAAGUCUGACCGAGCAACGCCGCGUGAGUGAAGAAGGUUUUCGGAUCGUAAAACUCUGUUGUUAGAGAAGAACAAGGACGUUAGUAACUGAACGUCCCCUGACGGUAUCUAACCAGAAAGCCACGGCUAACUACGUGCCAGCAGCCGCGGUAAUACGUAGGUGGCAAGCGUUGUCCGGAUUUAUUGGGCGUAAAGCGAGCGCAGGCGGUUUCUUAAGUCUGAUAUGAAAGCCCCCGGCUCAACCGGGGAGGGUCAUUGGAAACUGGGAGACUUGAGUGCAGAAGAGGAGAGUGGAAUUCCAUGUGUAGCGGUGAAAUGCGUAGAUAUAUGGAGGAACACCAGUGGCGAAGGCGGCUCUCUGGUCUGUAACUGACGCUGAGGCUCGAAAGCGUGGGGAGCAAACAGG
rnacentral:rRNA from 1 species